UACGUAGGGUGCGAGCGUUGUUCGGAAUUAUUGGGCGUAAAGGGCUCGUAGGCGGUCUGUCACGUCGGGUGUGAAAACUCGGGGCUCAACCCCGAGCCUGCUUCCGAUACGGGCAGACUAGAGGUAUGCAGGGGAGAAUGGAAUUCCUGGUGUAGCGGUGAAAUGCGCAGAUAUCAGGAGGAACACCAGUGGCGAAGGCGGUUCUCUGGGCAUUACCUGACGCUGAGGAGCGAAAGUGUGGGGAGCGAACAGG
rnacentral:rRNA from 1 species